rnacentral:rRNA from 1 species
ACUCCUACGGGAGGCAGCAGUGGGGAAUCUUGCACAAUGGGGAAACCCUGAUGCAGCGACGCCGCGUGAGCGAUGAAGCCCUUCGGGGUGUAAAGCUCUUUCGGCAGGAAAGAUGAUGACGGUACCUGCAGAAGCAGCUGCGGCUAACUACGUGCCAGCAGCCGCGGUMMYMCGUAGGCAGCGAGCGUUGUUCGGAGUUACUGGGCGUAAAGGGUGUGUAGGCGGUUGUUUAAGUUUGGUGUGAAAUCUCCCGGCUCAACUGGGAGGGUGCGCCGAAUACUGAAUGACUUGGAGUGCGGGAGAGGUGAGUGGAAUUCCUGGUGUAGCGGUGAAAUSCGUAGAUAUCAGGAGGAACACCGGUGGUGUAGACGGCUCACUGGACCGUAACUGACGCUGAGACMCGAAAGCGUGGGUAGCAAACAGGAUUAGAUACCCUGGUAGUCCACGCCCUAAACGAUGCAUAUUUGGUGUGGGCAGUUCAUUCUGUCCGUGCCGGAGCUAACGCGUUAAAUAUGCYSYYKGGGRRGUACAGUCGCAAGGCUGAAACUUAAAGGAAUUGMCGGMSWC